rnacentral:rRNA from 1 species
GAUCAUGGCUCAGGAUGAACGCUGGCGGCGUGCCUAACACAUGCAAGUCGAGCGGGGAUAUUGGAAGAUAUUCGUAUCGGAAGAUAUUCUAGCGGCGGACGGGUGAGUAACACGUGAGCAACCUACCUUUUGCAGGGGAAUAACAGUGGGAAACCACUGCUAAUACCGCAUAACAUCACGAGGGGACAUCCUCUUGUGAUCAAAGGAGAAAUCCGGCAGAAGAUGGGCUCGCGUCCGAUUAGUUAGUUGGCGGGGUAACGGCCCACCAAGACCGCGAUCGGUAGCCGAACUGAGAGGUUGAUCGGCCACAUUGGGACUGAGACACGGCCCAGACUCCUACGGGAGGCAGCAGUGGGGAAUAUUGGGCAAUGGGGGAAACCCUGAACCCCCAGCAACGCCGCGUGAAGGACGAAGGCCUUCGGGUUGUAAACUUCUUUGAUCAGGGACGAAACAAAUGACGGUACCUGAAGAACAAGCCACGGCUAACUACGUGCCAGCAGCAGC